CUUGCUCCGGUGGAUUAGUGGCGAACGGGUGAGUAACACGUGAGCAAUCUGCCCUUGACUCUGGGAUAACUGCGGGAAACUGUAGCUAAUACCGGAUACUUUCCCUGCUGGGCAUCCAGUGGGGAAGAAAGAAUUUCGGUCAAGGAUGAGCUCGCGGCCUAUCAGCUAGUUGGUGAGGUAAUGGCUCACCAAGGCGACGACGGGUAGCCGGCCUGAGAGGGUGACCGGCCACACUGGAACUGAGACACGGUCCAGACUCCUACGGGAGGCAGCAGUGGGGAAUAUUGCACAAUGGGCGAAAGCCUGAUGCAGCAACGCCGCGUGAGGGACGAAGGCCUUCGGGUUGUAAACCUCUUUUAGCAGGGAAGAAGCGAAAGUGACGGUACCUGCAGAAAAAGCACCGGCUAACUACGUGCCAGCAGCCGCGGUAAUACGUAGGGUGCAAGCGUUGUCCGGAAUUAUUGGGCGUAAAGAGCUCGUAGGCGGUUCGUCACGUCUGCUGUGAAAUUUCGAGGCUCAACCUCGAACUUGCAGUGGGUACGGGCAGGCUAGAGUGCGGUAGGGGAGAUGGGAAUUCCUGGUGUAGCGGUGGAAUGCGCAGAUAUCAGGAGGAACACCAAUGGCGAAGGCACAUCUCUGGGCCGUAACUGACGCUGAGGAGCGAAAGCGUGGGGAGCGAACAGGAUUAGAUACCCUGGUA
rnacentral:rRNA from 1 species